GACGGACGCUGGCGGCGCGCUUAACACAUGCAAGUCGAACGGAAAGGCCUGCUUUCCCUUGUGGAUUGCGGGUACUCGAGUGGCGAACGGGUGAGUAACACGUGAGUGAUCUGCCCCCAACUUGGGUAUAAGCCUGGGAAACUGGGUCUAAUUCCCGAUAGGACUGCAGGGUGGUGCCUGUGGUGGAAAACGAUUUUCUAGUGGUUGGGGAUGAGCUCGCGGCCUAUCAGCUUGUUGGUGGGGUAAUGGCCUACCAAGGCGGCGACGGGUAGCCGGCCUGAGAGGGUGGACGGCCACAUUGGGACUGAGAUACGGCCCAGACUCCUACGGGAGGCAGCAGUGGGGAAUAGUGCACAAUGGGCGGAAGCCUGAUGCAGCGACGCCGCGUGGGGGAUGACGGCCUUCGGGUUGUAAACUCCUUUCGACCGCGAGGAAGCCACCUGGUUGGAAGGGUGGUGACGGUAGUGGUAGAAGAAGCACCGGCUAACUACGUG
rnacentral:rRNA from 1 species